UACGUAGGCAGCAAGCGUUGUUCGGAGUUACUGGGCGUAAAGGGUGUGUAGGCGGUUCUUUAAGUUUGGGGUGAAAUCUCCCGGCUCAACUGGGAGGGUGCGCCGAAUACUGAGGGACUAGAGUACGGGAGAGGAAAGUGGAAUUCCUGGUGUAGCGGUGAAAUGCGUAGAGAUCAGGAAGAACAUCGGUGGCGAAGGCGCUCUGCUGGACCAUAACUGACACUCAGGGACGAAAGCUAGGGGAGCGAAUGGG
rnacentral:rRNA from 1 species